UAUAGCAUUAUACCGUGAAACUGCGAAUGGCUCAUUAAAUCAGUUAUCGUUUAUUUGAUAGUACCUUACUACUUGGAUAACCGUGGUAAUUCUAGAGCUAAUACAUGCUGAAAACCCCGACUUCGGAAGGGGUGUAUUUAUUAGAUAAAAAACCAAUGCCCUUCGGGGCUCCUUGGUGAUUCAUAAUAACUUCUCAGAUCGCAUGGCCUUGCGCCGGCGACGGUUCAUUCAAAUUUCUGCCCUAUCAACUUUCGAUGGUAAGGUAUUGGCUUACCAUGGUUUCAACGGGUAACGGGGAAUUAGGGUUCGAUUCCGGAGAGGGAGCCUGAGAAACGGCUACCACAUCCAAGGAAGGCAGCAGGCGCGCAAAUUACCCAAUCCCGACACGGGGAGGUAGUGACAAUAAAUACUGAUACAGGGCUCUUUUGGGUCUUGUAAUUGGAAUGAGUACAAUUUAAACCUCUUAACGAGGAACAAUUGGAGGGCAAGUCUGGUGCCAGCAGCCGCGGUAAUUCCAGCUCCAAUAGCGUAUAUUAAAGUUGUUGCAGUUAAAAAGCUCGUAGUUGAACCUUUGGCCUGGCUGGCAGGUCCGCCUCACCGCGUGCACUUGUCCGGCCGGGCCUUUUCUUCUGGAGAACCGCAUGCCCUUCACUGGGUGUGUUGGGGACCAGGACUUUUACUUUGAAAAAAUUAGAGUGUUCAAAGCAGGCCUUUGCUCGAAUACGUUAGCAUGGAAUAAUAGAAUAGGACGUGCGGUCCUAUUUUGUUGGUUUCUAGGACCGCCGUAAUGAUUAAUAGGG
rnacentral:rRNA from 1 species